UCUCCCUCUUCCUCCAUCCUCCCCUCCCGCAUCCCAUCCCCUCUGCGCGCGGUGGCGGCGACAGCGGCGAAGCGGAAGGCAGCGGCAGGCGUAGGCGGGCGGUGCAGGGAGGCGGAUGCGGUCGGGCCGCGGCGGCGGCGGGCGUGGGUGGCUGCGGAAGGGCGCAGCGCCGGGCGUGCGCGGGGCGGCGCUGGAGGGCGCGGGGCAGGGCGUGGCCGGCGCGUGCGGUGCGCGAACGAGGCGCGCAUGGGGCGGCCAGGCGGGGCGAGCAGCAGCUUGGCGGCAGUAGCGCGCGCGGUUGGCGCCCAGAAGCAGCAGCGGGCUCGCGCGGGCGGCACGGGGCGCGGCGUGCAGAGCCGACGGGCGGUAGCGGGCGGGGCACAUGCGGCCAGGCUCGUGCGCGAGGCGCGGCCAGGGCGUGGCCUGAGGCGCCUAGGGCAGUUGGUGGUGGCUCGCCUUCCGUCCUCGAGCCCCACGCCCGUCCUUCUCUCUGCAUCGCCUCCUCUUCCUCCCCUCCAGGCUUCUCCACCGCGCGGUCACGCCUAAACACCGGCCGGGAUGAGAGUGAGGGCGGCGAGGGAGAGAGAGACAGGAGAGGAUUCGUGGCGCCAGGGGCUAUGGCGGCGGCAACAUUGGGAAAGGCAGGGGAGGAGGAGGCAGUGGCCGCUGAUGGAGAGGUGCCUCUCCUGCCAUCAAGAUGCAUCCAGAAUGGCGAUGACGAGCGGCCGAUCAGUGUGGCCAUGGUCUUAUGAACGACAGAGGCUUCUCUCCCCCCGCCUCUCCUCUUGCCUCUCCUCCUGCCUCUCCUCCAGGUCACAGCUGAACCUCAUCGGAAAGAGAUCGGCCUGGUACCUUUCCUCCCACUCUCCUUCUUCUCCUCAUGCCCGUCCUUCUAUGUAUUCUACAUUUACCAAUGGACAAGAAUGACACUUCAGAUAUGAGGUUAUUGUUGUUGUAGCUUUUCAUUAUAAUUUUCUUUUACUUUUGUUGAUCUAUGUAAGAAAUUAGUUUUAUUUGCCCAUGAUACUGCUGAAAAACAUGUUCACUUCAAAUAGUAAAUCAUAUCCUGUCAUUAUUCAAGAGGUAAACUGAGGAAAAGAAAGUAUCAAGAAAGCAACCAUCGUGUAUAUAUCUUAGUAUAUAUUUGCCCAUCGUUCUACAAGAUGCUAAUCGCUUCAGCUUUGGGUUAACUUGUUGGUUGGCUCCUGAAACUGAGCACAUGUUGGUAUUUCAUUGUUGUACUGGUGUAUGCAAGGGUUAUUCUCGUGCAGAGGUUUUGAACUGUGAUUUCCUUCUCUUUCAAGUCUAAAGCAUUCGACUGAUAAUUUCAGGCAGGCAUUUCAAUUUUCUGUCAUGCUUCUAUAUAUCAAGCGUGGUUGAGAAAGUUCCAUUUUUAAAAGGGGCUGGAGCUCCAUGGCUUACAGAUCUAACGACCCCUGAUGCUCUUUGCAUAUUUCCCAUGAUAACAUCAAUGUUCGUCAUGCUUCCCUUUGAGGAGCGGCAGGUGCAGAUGCGUGUGCGAGGAGUGCCGUCGGUCGACCGGCGUUCUUUCUUCGUCAGGAAGGGUGCAGCCUGCUAUUCAAGCCCCUCUCCUUUGCUCCUUGCAGAGCAGGAGAGGCAUGGGCACCACCACACUUGAGAGAUGGACGAGGACAUGAAGCUUUCGUGGAGAGGACGAGGUGGCCGCCGCAGCACCCCCACGCCGCGGACGCGGAGAUUCCCAUCCUGUCUGCCCCCGACAACCACUUCGGUGGCGCCAUGAACGGAAACAAUCGCCUCUUCACGACAGGCGCAGACCGCAUGGUCGUCUUCCUCUCCGGCUUCUUCUACACCAUCAGACUCAGACCCUCUCCCGCUCCCUCUCCCUCUGCAUCUCUGUAAAAAUAUGGUCAACUAGGAGAUGAUGCAAGCCAAGGCGCUCACACCGAUUUAAGAUGGUGUGGGUGAUCAAUAGAAGACAAAUGAAUACACUGAUGGAAGGCCAUGUCAAAAUGACAGCUGUUAAACAAGAGGAGGUAGACACAACCAGUGAUACCAGCGGUGACCAAUUACCCAUGGCAAUUCUGAAAAACAUACUUAUGAUUGAUCAGUCUUUUUUUUAUCACUUAUGCAUGCAAGUUGAUCAAGUAUGUAAUAAAACAAAUUCUUUCAGGGUCCAGUAGGUGUUCUGUUUGCUAUUCAUUAAUGCUCUGAUUUAUUUGCUGUUACAUGUACAAGCACUGCUUACUGCUUCCCACUAACCAUGUACAAUAGAUAGUCUUUUCUACCUUUCACGAGUACACACAAGCUAAUUAGCCCCUCUGUUUGUUUAUGUUGUCCUCUAUUUGCUAUUGCAAACUCUUACCAUGAUCUCCUUAUCUAUUCAACACAAACGAACCACUGUGUCAGAAGCACAAUAAGCCAUACGAGUAAAUUCAUUGCCCACGGAAAGCAAACUCAAUCCAAAAGUUCAAAGGCAAGAAAAUCCAUGGUGAGCCUUGCAUCCACUACUUAGAUGAGUUUAGUCACCACAUUGUGUGGGUCAACACAGUUAAGCUCUCUAACCAUAAUGUCCGUACACUGCGAAAGAUCAUCCGCAGCACCACCACGCCUGAUAACUACUAUGUGUGCCACAUGACAGAAACAUUUGCAACACAAGGCAAAAGAAUGGUAGUCCUUUGCAAUUACUCUGUCCGGUUUCAUAUAAUAGCAUGGUAUAAAAUGAUAUAGUGACUAACCUUUACUAUUAUUUUCAGUACUUUAGCGUUCCUUUUUCUAGGGGUUCCAUUUCCCACACAUGGAUGCUGACCAUGGUGAACUGCCAAUCACUACUGGAGAUGGAACUGCCGCUGUCACGGCCCACUUUAUCAAGGGUGUUGACAAAAGGGCAACCAUCACUGAAGGCUGGAGCGACUUCUUCCGUCAGGCACACAUGGACGAAGGGCAAGUAUACGCUUUCGCCUUCAAAUGCACUUCCAAGGGACUGUGCCUGAUCGUCUACUCAAUAUAAGCAAGUUGCAAGAGCCCCUUGUUAUAUAACUUAGUAUUAGUAUAGAUACCUACCAAGACUUCCGUGUUUAUCAUCCUUUUGUAUCUUAUUAUGUAAUCCCCUAAGACCAUCCUGUGCAUUUAACUAUCGGUUAUUUGCUGCUUAGACUGCUAUGCGGUAUGCUUUUGAAACAACCUUGAUGGAAGAAAUAUAUGCUUUCAUCUUUAAGUGCA